GCUGGAUCAUUACACUCCGAAUCAAACUCUUCUUUCUCCAGAAAUUUUUUCGAAAACUCCAUAUAAAAUCCCGAACUACAGUCAAGCCAAAGUAAAUAAAAACCAACUGUAAGCUUUGUUUAUUCUCAAGCCACUCGUCAUCACUGCGUCAAGGUUUACCCUCGGCAAUCUAUCCCUGUUUUAAUGUCGUACCUAUGGCAUAUUUGUCCGCUGGUAGUUAUAGCCGGAUCGGUCUAUCUUCUUGAGGAAAGUAAAAAGCAGGAAGAGAAAUACCAAAAGCAUAUGAAUGAGGUUAGGAAGGACUUAAAAGACUCGGAUAAGCGACUCUCUUCCCGUCUAGCAGAAACUGCAAAAUCUGUGGAAGUUGCUCAAAAGUUCUGCAACGACAAAUUGAAGGAAUUGAAGGAGGCUCUUGGCAAUCGGGCUCCCGUGUCAUCGCAGGUCAACGAAGGAGCUGGAGGUACCAACGAAGUAUAGGAGAUAUGAUGUUAUAUACUUGCUGUUUAUAUUGUCUGUUUAUACUUGUCUGUUUAUAUUAAUGUGUUAGGAUAUUGUUAGCUAUGUAUUUAGGAUAUUUGCACAACAUCGACUUUGAGUAACAAUUAACUGGUUUAGGUGGAAUGAAAAUUUCUAUUAAUAUA